rnacentral:rRNA from 1 species
UACGUAGGGGGCAAGCGUUGUCCGGAUUUAUUGGGCGUAAAGAGCGUGUAGGCGGCCAGGUAGGUCUGCUGUGAAAACUCGAGGCUCAACCUCGAGACGUCGGCGGAAACCAUCUGGCUAGAGUCCGGAAGAGGAGAGUGGAAUUCCUGGUGUAGCGGUGAAAUGCGCAGAUAUCAGGAAGAACACCAAUGGCGAGGGCAGCUCUCUGGGACGGUACUGACGCUGAGACGCGAAAGCGUGGGGAGCGAACAGG